UCAAUGAUGAGGCUAAACUAGGUGAAGA
rnacentral:sRNA from 1 species